UACGUAGGGGCUAGCGUUGUCCGGAUUUAUUGGCGUAAAGAGCGUGUAGGCGGCCAGGUAGGUCUGGUGUGAAAACUCGAGGCUUAACCUCGAGAUGUCAUCGGAAACCAUCUGGCUAGAGUCCGGAAGAGGAGAGUGGAAUUCCUGGUGUGAGCGGUGAAAUGCGCAGAUAUCAGGAAGAACACCAAUGGCGAAAGCAGCUCUCGUGGACGGUACUGACGCUGAGACGCGAAAGCGUGGGGAGCGAACAGG
rnacentral:rRNA from 1 species